AGUCGUAACAAGGUUUCCGUAGGUGAACCUGCGGAAGGAUCAUUACUGAGUUCAUGCCCUUACGGGUAGAUCUCCCACCCUUGAAUAUCUAAACCUUUGUUGCUUUGGCGGGCCGCUUCGGCUACCGGCUCCGGCUGGUGAGUGCCCGCCAGAGAACCUUAAACUCUGAAUUACAGUGUCGUCUGAGUACUAUAAAAUAGUUAAAACUUUCAACAACGGAUCUCUUGGUUCUG
rnacentral:misc_RNA from 1 species